rnacentral:lncRNA from 1 species
GCCCCGUCGCGUUUAUCGAGGAGACAGGUGAAAACUGAGGUUUAGAGAGGGUAAAUAACUUGCCCAAAAUCUGGAAAAGUUUGCCAACCCCUGGUCUUACUCCUCAUUAAGGUUUCCCUUCCUCUCCACCAUUCCCAAAUCUGAGUAUUCCAGAAGAGCUACUGUUUUUUUAAUGAUAUGACUGUUUUGCAGGCCUAAGACUUAUGCAGAGGUGGCGCCCGCCCGUAAUCCCAGCACUUCGGGAGGCCGAGACGGGCGGAUCGCUUGAGACCAGCCAGGAUAACAUGGCGAAACCACAUCUCUACAACAAAUACAAAAAUUAGCUGGGCGCGGUGGCACACGACUGUGGUUCCAGUUACUCGGCAGGCGGAGGUGGAAGGAUCCCUUGAGCCUCUGGAGGUGGAGGUUGCAGUGAGCUGUGAUUGCGCCACUGCACUCCAGCCUGGGCGACAGAGUGAGACCCUGUCAGAAAACAAAACAAAACAAAAGAAUUCUGUAAGAACUUCUAACAGGUACAUUCCUGUAAGCAUUACCCACCACUGGACUAGGCACUGGGUAGCCUGUAAAAUACAGUAAGAGCCGUCUCUGCACCCAGAAAAUUUACCAUCAUUUUGUGCUGGAAAGACAUGCCCUAGAAAACAAUAAACAGCACGACUGUACAUGAUUCCAUGC